ACACACACACACACACACACACACUGAAAUGUGGGGUGGGAGAGAUAAGGAACGAAGAAGGAAAAUGACCUAAAUGUCGUGAUGUCAUGUGGUGUUACAGAUUGGGUCCUGGAACAGAAAGAAGACGGAGUAGAAGAACUGGUGCAAUGGGAAUGAAGUCUAUAGACAGUCAAGUGUACCCUUGCGAUGUUCACCUCUUAGCUUUGACAAAGGGAAAGAAAAUAGUGUCAGGCCCACCCCAUGCUCUUACAGUGUUUCCCACGGCCGGGCUGCUGCCAUAGCCUCUGUCCCAGACCCAACCCUAAGACCGACGCUCUCCAGAGGAAGCAGGAAGGUGGAGAAUUUUAAACCGAAAAGGCUCUGGCAUGGAUAGUUCCUGGGGUUGUUAAACGGUCUCCAUCCUGUUCCUGAGGACUAAAACAGCCGAUCAACCGAACUGCAUCUAAGUAUUUAAGCACACCUGCCAUUUCCCUUGACAAAAUAGUCCCUGGAUCGCCCCACAUUGGCAGAAGAGUAAAAAGCUCAUGACUUGCCUCAGCCCUCGCCAGAAUGUAGAGAAGGCUUUCUGAACUUGGGAACAUCUAAAUCCAGGAGGUAUCCUGCCCAAGGUUUGUCAAAUUAUUUUACUUAUAAAUUCACCAAAGAAAGCAUUAGAAUGCAUUAAAAGAAACUUCUAGUAAUGUAUCAAUCAGCUGUUGAUAACAUAUGUUAUGUUGGUAACGUAACAAACAACCAUAGAAUGUCAACAGCACACAAUAAAAAGCAUGCAUUUCACUUGUGCAUUUGUGUAUUGGCUGGAGCCAAUCUGAUACAGGCUGAGCUCAUCUGGGCAGCUCUAAGCUGCAAACUGGGACCAGAUCUGCUCCAUGCAUCUCUUA